UGGGGUUUGAUUACUGUUUGGCGUGUUUUAUUUUCUUUCAUUUUUUUUUCUUUUUCUAAACAUCUAUAAGAAUACUAAUAAUUAAUACUAUUUUUAUGAUGAUGACUGUUUAGUGACAUCUUGUGCAUUUCUUACUGUUCCUGUCUCCUGCUCCAAAACACAUUCUCUCCUGUCUUUUCCUUUAAUUCCCAAACAUUGAAAUUUCUAGGAAUAUAGAGAUGGAAAUACCAGGAUUUCCAGGGUUUCCAUUUCUACUCUGACUCUUCUUUUUUUGGGGAUGGUGGGAGGGGUGUAGGGAGGUGCAUAAUGCUAAGAAUAAUUCAAGGGACAGAGGGCCUAAGAUGAAGAUCCCAUCAACCCCAGAAACUUCUAGGGAGGAUGAAAUAUUAAAAUGAAAAAGUCUCCACAACUAAAUGCAAGAAUUUUAUUUUCAUAUUUAUGUACCAUGCAAAUAACUAAAAAUCAUGGAAAUAAACUUGAUCUCCAUUGCCAAUUUUACCUAAGGUGUCUCAUAGAAAACCGCUUUAAUUUUAGCAACAAAAGCCUGUUACUUAAUGUGCAGCAUAUUGCAAGUGUGUAGCUGAGGAAUUAUGAAAGAUAAUAAAACCUAUCCUUCAUCUGUCAGAAUGUAAAUUGCUUAUGCAGAAUUUUCAACAAGGUUUUUGUUGUUGUUGUUCUUUUCUAAAUGUACUUUUCAGACGAGGGUGUUAGCAACUACUUCGGUAAUGAAGCUAUCAGAAGCCUGCAUGUAGUAGGGAACAUCUAUAAAGUUGCCUCUUGAUCUAAAGCAUUGCAUUUAUAAGAAUUUAUGGCAUUGUUGCGCCUAUUCAAGUCUGAGUUUUUCUCUGAUCAUCCUACUACCCUAAGAGUGCUAUGCUGACAUCACAUAGCUGGGGGUCUCAUCAGAAAACCAAACUAAUUAAAGAUGAAAAGGUCUGAGGAUGCACAGAGUGAAACUCUAUCUUUGUCUUGUAUUAUAACUUUUACCAAAAUUAUUUCUCCACUACUGUCAGCAAUGAAUGACUUUGCUCACUUCCUACUAACAGCUGUAGCACAGAAAAAAAAAAAAAAAGGACAGGUCAAGUACUCAAGAAGCCAUGUUAACUUCCCAAAUAGUUAGGCAAUCGGCUUUAAUGAAACAGUGGUAAAUUACAUCAAUGUGCUAAUUAUAGAGGACUUUGUCACAGCAUAAGAUGCAAUAAAACAACCCAUGCCUUGGCUUGGAAAGUG